rnacentral:sRNA from 1 species
UGACCAAUUAUAGCAUUCCAUAUAGGCAUUAACCCUUAAUUCUAGUUCUGUGGAACUGUAAAAUAUUCAAUACCGAAAUCGUCAAAACGAUGAAAUUUAGAAAACUGAGAGGCUGCUUAUGCAGGGCACGCCCUCCGUACCGUAAUGGAAUGAACCUUGCCCUCGACUUGCUAAACCUUAACAGCACUCUCUAUCGAGGAUAAGAAAGUACUCGGAAGAACAAACGUGCGUUUUUCCGUGGAACCUACAUCAGCUGCUGCUCCAAGCAUAUGGAGGUUUCCAAUAUCUGAGAACUGUCAACAGGCCCAUUAUCCAUUUGAAACCUGAUCAUCAUUAAACUCCAAAAUCACUCAAUUUUGGCGAAGGAAGGCCAGGAAAAAAAGGCAAGCGAAAUUUCAUUUAAUACCGAGCGAAAACAAAGAAAAACAAAAAAAAACAGCUAAAAAGAGGUGAUACGAGACAGCUGUUUGCGAUCGAUAAGAUCAGCCAAAGCGAUAAGCUCGUCUUCAUUUCCGCGAAAGGGGGCUCACCAUGAGUGCACCCACAAUUACAGAGCUUAAAAUCUAAAUGCAGGGAUCAAUACUUGAUCCGUUAUUGUUCUGCAUUCAUGUAAAUGACCUGCCAAUAGUAUUGUCUGACUCUAAUGUGAACAUGUACGUCGAUGCUCGUGUACGUCCAAUUAUAUGUUAGUCGAUCGUUAAAUACAAUAGAUGAGAGCAAUAUAGGACUUGAGAAAAUCAGUGCAUGGGCAACCCACAAUCACCUAUGCCUAAAUCCAACCAAGUCAAAAUGUUUGAUUACACAUAAAAAAGUGUCGCGCGGCAGACCAGAGUAUCACAUCACAUCCCCAUAUAUUUUGGUAGGUCCUUUCGUGGUAGGUGCAGUAGGUAGUGGCUAAGUUUCUCAUUGCGUUCCUUGCACAUUAUUUUCGAGGUUCUGCAGGUGGUGGUACUCCUCCACCUGCUUUCGGUUUGUGAUCUGGCCUGCUUCUAGAUCGCUUUGCAGCAUUCUAAGGGAGACAUGCACGUUCUCGGUUCUCCUAUUCUCCAGCCCGACGACUGCUUUAGCUAGUACGUCCGCCGCCUCGUUUCCUUCGAUGCCUUGGUGACUGGGAACCCAAUAGAUCCGCACUGACUUUGUUGCUUAUGGUAUCUAGUGCCUCCCUGCUCGCCAUGCCGCCUCCAUGGAUCUGAUUGCCGCUUGGCUGUCGACGAAUGUCGACGGAUGGCGAAAACUUCCGCCUGAAAUAUGCUGCAUCGGUCCGGUAGCUUAUCCGACUGGCAAAAAUC